AGACAGCAGAGCAGGGCAGCUCUGUCCUUGGGGGAAGGACUGACAAGCAUGGCUCCUGGUGGCCUGGAUUCAUGCCCUGGAGAACACCUGCAAAGUCAGGAAUUUGUGCUCCAGCUCUAUCUUUGUAGUGUAUGACAGAGAUGGACUGAAAUUUCAUCACCCACAGCCUCUACUGGAGCAUGUUUCUCUUGUAGCUCCUCCACCUUGUAAGACCAACAUGGCUAUAAAAUUGAUGCCUGAAACAUGGAAUGAUAUCAUAUUUUAUCUGCUUGGAAAUAUAAACUUCAUUGCUAAACAAGAAAGAAGAAUUUUUAACGUCUCUGGAUGCCUCUGACACCAGACACCUCCAGGGCUGAAGACGGCCUAAUCUGCACAUCACAGAGCAACAUUCUCAA